rnacentral:rRNA from 1 species
UGGGGGAUAUUGCACAAUGGGCGAAAGCCUGAUGCAGCGACGCCGCGUGGGGGAUGAAGGCUUUCGGGUUGUAAACCUCUUUCGCUAUCGAACAAGGCCCGCUUAGGGUGGGUUGAGGGUAGGUGGAGAAGAAGCGCCGGCUAACUACGUGCCAGCAGCCGCGGUAAUACGUAGGGCGCGAGCGUUGUCCGGAAUUAUUGGGCGUAAAGGGCUUGUAGGCGGCUUGUUGCGCCUGCUGUGAAAACGCGAGGCUUAACUUCGCGCGUGCAGUGGGUACGGGCAGGCUUGAGUGUGGUAGGGGUGACUGGAAUUCCAGGUGUAGCGGUGGAAUGCGCAGAUAUCUGGAGGAACACCGAUGGCGAAGGCAGGUCACUGAGCCAUUACUGACGCUGAGGAGCGAAAGCAUGGGUAGCGAACAGG